AUGUCACUUGUCAGUUGUCAGCUGAGGUUGUCAGUCACAAAAUAUAAAAACGUAAAUAAAAAAGGUAAAUAUUUACCGUAACUUUUCCUACGUUCAACUUUGACAUUAGCAAAAUCAUCGCCUGCCAGCGAUGUAGCCACAAUUUAAAAAUUGAAUUGAAAAAGAUUUUGAAGUGAAUUUGCAAAUACAAAAUGACCUCAAGUCGGCCCUAUGUUACUGGACACAAGCCAGAUGGAAGAGUUGUGGACCCAUCCAUUACAGAAGCACAAACAAGAUCUGACGAGACAAUAGACUUGAUAUCUAGAUAUGACCACUUAUAUGAUGAACUCAUCAUAAAGAGAAAAUACUUCAAAAAGUUGCAAAAAAUUUACAAACUAUAUGGGGAUAAAAUAUUCCAUAACACUUGAAAUGAAAUGAUAUUACAUGAAAAUAUUGAUAUUAUAAAAAAUUCGACUCCUAUGUUAACUUCUCAAUAACUUAUGGUUGAUGUUAUUCAGGAAAAUGGGGAAGACAUUCUAAUAGUUAAAAGAGAUAAUCCAAGGGCCCCUGUGGUAAAGCUCCUUUCAGCAGAAGAGUGUUUUUCAGUCAUUCCCAAAGCACAUAAAGAGAGUAAUCAUGGCAAUGCAGAAGUAAUCAGGAAUCUUACUGAACAUCAGUACAGAUACCCACAGUUUUGUAUACCUUUAGUAUUACAAUCUUGUAAUGUAUGUAAGGAAGUUUCAAAGUCAUAUAACGUUAUGGUAUGUAAAGAAAUGGAAACUGACAAAUCCAUAUGGAAAUUAGCAAUACACAGAAUGGAAACAAAUAAAAUUGGUAAAUAUUUAUAUUUUUUUGUCUAUGUGGAAGUUGUUACAACAUACAUAAUAAUUAGACCGCUUACAAAACUGGUUGUUGAAGAAUUGGGUAUGGAAUUAAUGAAAAUAUUCACUACAUUUGGACCACCAAAGAAAAUAUUGACAGCCAGAGACUACGAGCAUUUAGUUAAGAGAACUUUAAAUAUGAUGGGUGCCAUGGAUGAGAGGUACACGGCACUUGUAGAAAGGUGUCAGGACUACAUAUUCGAUAUUGCCUCUGUAUUAGUGGCAAUGAAAAAAUGGUUCAAACAAAGUGGCUCCAAUGACUGGGUCACAGCUUGUAGCUUAGUGCAAUGGCAGCUGAACACAUCCGUUAGACUGAUAUCUCAGAAUGAUGGAUAUUCCAUACAAUCUGUUUUUUGAGAGCAAAGCUAACUCAUUUAAUCUCAUUAGUGGUGAUGUAGUUGCUGAGAAACUUAAUCCAAAAUCUCGUAAUCUGGUCACAUUAGAAAUAGGAUUGAGUAAAUCUAAAGUGACUAAUCAUAUACUUGAUUUGAGUUCUGAUGAAAAUGGUGAUGAGUCUUCAGCAUGUGGUGUAUGUAAGGAAGAGUUUGCAUUGUACAAUUGUUUGACCUGUGCUAAGCCUGUUCAUUAUAAGUGUGGAUGCAAGAUUCCACAAGACGUUAAUGCACAUGUCAAAAAAGGCUCGAGAAUUGUGUGUAAAUCUUGUUGAUUUAUAUUACAAUAAAGCAUAAGUACAUCUACUUUG
rnacentral:lncRNA from 1 species